rnacentral:rRNA from 1 species
CACUGAGGUGCGAAAGCGUGGGUAGCAAACAGGAUUAGAUACCCUGGUAGUCCACGCCGUAAACGAUGUCGACCAGCCGUUGGGUGCCUAGCGCACUUUGUGGCGAAGUUAACGCGAUAAGUCGACCGCCUGGGGAGUACGGCCGCAAGGUUAAAACUCAAAUGAAUUGACGGGGGCCCGCACAAGCGGUGGAGCAUGUGGUUUAAUUCGAUGCAACGCGAAGAACCUUACCUACCCUUGACAUCCUGCGAAUUCGUGAGAGAUCACUUAGUGCCUUCGGGAACGCAGAGACAGGUGCUGCAUGGCUGUCGUCAGCUCGUGUUGUGAAAUGUUGGGUUAAGUCCCGUAACGAGCGCAACCCUUGUCCUUAUUUGCCAGCACGUAAUGGUGGGAACUCUAAGGAGACUGCCGGUGACAAACCGGAGGAAGGUGGGGACGACGUCAAGUCAUCAUGGCCCUUACGGGUAGGGCUACACACGUGCUACAAUGGCCGGUACAAAGGGUUGCCAACUCGCGAGAGUGAGCUAAUCCCGAAAAGCCGGUCUCAGUCCGGAUCGGAGUCUGCAACUCGACUCCGUGAAGUCGGAAUCGCUAGUAAUCGUGGAUCAGAAUGCCACGGUGAAUACGUUCCCGGGCCUUGUACACACCGCCCGUCACACCAUGGGAGUGGACUGCACCAGAAGU